rnacentral:lncRNA from 1 species
GCAUUGCACUGUGGGACAUCAGAAGACAUGGACUUUAUUAUGGGUAACUGUAAUGAUAUCAUCAGACUUCCUUGUAAAGCUACUGACCGAACAAAAACGUACCGUUACGUCAUGUGGUAUAAAGCAGAGAGUCUUCCUAUCAUCAAGAAGAAAAACCUUGAAUAUACAUACUAUAAUAACUUAACAUCUGUUUCUCUGGGAAAUAAAGAGACCCUGGUGUUACAUAAUGCGCAGUCUUCAGACUCUGGAGAAUAUAAAUGCUACCUGGCUGCAGAGGUUGGAGGUCGAAAUGACCAUUCUUUAAUUGGAUUGAACAUCUCAGAAUGUUUAAAUGUGAGCACAGUUUAUCCAAUCACCACCACGAUCCCCGCUGAUUCCUGUCCUGUUGUAGCAGAAUUAACUGUUCCCUGGGCUGUCAUUGGCCUUUCUCUUAUCAGCAUGACCAAAGUCAUUCUUUGCAUUAUAACUGUGGGGGUGUGUGAUCGAGUCAUAUUUAGAACACUAAGAAGAAAACAGGAAGUAAGGGGAAGCAAGACUGGAAGGUCAAGCUGGAAAGAUUGAGGUUCACAAAAAGCUCAUUUUAGUUUUACACAUCAAUUAGCCAAGUUAAAACAGUCCAAGCCUGUAAACAUUUACAGGGUUGUUCGCACCAUUAUGUUGUUUUGAUUGGAUCCGUUUUAUUUCUGUGUGGUUUUGCUAUUCUUAUACUUUUUAUGGUCUAUUCCUAGGGGAAGAGGGACAGGCUAUAAUGGGGGCUGUUCUAUAGCUGUUAAGGGAGA